UAGAGCAAUGUGGUGUUAAACCUAGUACAGAAAAGGAGCCAGGGCUGCGUAUAUUGAAGCGACAGGACCACUUUGCAACUUACCAAACGAAGGAUAUAUGCUAAGAAUAUCCUUUUUGCAUGGCACAUUCCAGAAUUUUCUGACUUAUCAUCAGCUAUAUAUAGAUAUAUGGACACCCAAAACUAUUCAUCAACGAAAUGAAUGAUCAAGUUUAUGGUUGCAUUACAGGGCAAUUACUCUUUUGGCAGUUAGCCACUCACCUGCACUGCAAAUGUGCACGUAAUUUGGUUCACAAGGCGGAGAUGCUCACUGCCAAAGGAGAUUUGCUCGGCAAUUCAGCUGUGCAAUCAUUCAGUCACCUAAUAUAUAUAUCAACCCGAAGGUUGGAGGUAAAAGUUCUAAGGAGGGGACUUUUAAUAGGAUUGAUUUUUUGAAUUUUGGAUUAUAAUGUGUAUAAUAAAUCAGAUAGGCCACAUGGGCACGUACCUAGGGAGGACGGAUCAUUGCACUCGCAGGAUUUUUCUCAUUACUUGCUUUACAAACUCCAUCUCAUACUCUCUAUACUUCUUGAGCACUUUCUUGUCACAGGAGAGGCUACCAAAGUCUCUUCCAUUAUUUCACGCUUCAAAUUCCAGGAGACUGUUGAUGAUGUCCCUAGAAAGAGAUAGGCUAUUUCAGAAAGCUUCAGACAAAACUAUACGUAUACUUUUUUUAUGUUCUCACAAUAUUCACUAUAAGUUAUUAUUAGUUAUUUGGCUAUUAUAAGAGUAUUUUAAAUACUAGUAAAGAUUCACCUACUCCUAGAUGAGCCAUCAAAUUUAAAUUACUCUAUUACUGAUCACGGUGACUCAUAUCAAAAUCAUUCAAUUUUAAUUUAAACUUAAUUAUCAAAUAACGUCUUGGGUUAUGGGUUGGGUCAAACCCAACCCGAUUUCUAACAAUGAGGAAGUGUUGUGUGUGGUACGGUUUAUUUCAUUAAGUUAUAAAAUACUUAUAUGUCUUGUUGGUAAUAGAGGGAGUAAACAAAGUGGUUAAAACUAGCUGAUUAAAUGUAAACUUUUGUUUAACAAAGUCGUGUUGGAAAUACUGCAUAUUUUAUUAAAAAUUGAUGCGUCACUGAUUAUAAAAUAUAAAUCAUCAAAAACUUAUUUAUAUUAUCUUGUUGAAAUAGUUUAUUAAAUUAAAAUUUGUAAUAAUUUAACAUUUUUCUUUCCAGGUUGCUAGGUUUGACUAAUUCAUAUACACAUACUAGCAUGAUGCACAUGUGCAUUGGAUCUGGGUGCGCACGCAUGCAUAAAAAAAGUUCCUAACACAUAACAACUAACAAGGAGAUAGAUUGUGAAAUGCGAAAGCAACAAACAGGUUGACUUACUUACCUGGAGGGGUCAUUGGGUGGGGAAAGAAUAAAGAUUCAAGAAAAGACCAUGACCUAAUGACCUAGGCUAGGUUAUGUGUGCCAGUGACCUUCAUUGCAUUUCUACAAAUUUCCAAAAAAAAAAAAAAAAAAUUGAUUUCACAUAGUAAAUAUUGUCAAUAAAUAUAUAUAAUUUCAAAAACUUAAUAUAAAGAUUGAUUGAGUUUGUAUCACGUAGGUUUAUAAUUAAAAAUAAAACUAGCUUGUAACUUUUUAUAUAUAUUUGCUUGUAAAUAUAAUUUAUAUAUAAUUAAAGUACAAUUAGAAGGAUACUUGACAUGAAAGUGAAAUGUAUUUAAAAUAUAGACACUUACCAUCAAAUUAAAAGACAAUUAAAAUAAUAUUUGACAUAAAAAUAGAGUGCAAUUAGAAUCUAAUUUGGAUCAUUCAUUUAACUUUCUCCCAACUUCUUGUUUUUUAUUAUAUAAUAUUGGAAAGCAAUUUCCUUAGUGUUCACAAUGGCUAUCCAUAAUUUAUUUCCUCUUUUUCGUGUAAUUAAUAAUUGAAUUUUCGAGGUAUUUGUUACAUUUUUAGAAGUAUUAGAGAAUUAUUUUAAAUAUUUUUUAUUGUGUAAAAUUUGAAGUGACCGUUCUAUAUUGUUUGGAUCAUUCUAUAUUUUUAUACUUUUAAGAGUUGUAUUUAUUUAAUCUUAAUUUUAGUGGGAGAGUUAAUUGUAAGCACCUAUGAACACUUUAGAGAGUAUCAUUAUUGGCCAGAUACAGUUGCAAGAUUAUAGUUAAUCAAUGAAUCUCUAGGUAAAUAGUAUGUUAAUAUGGAUUAAUGGACUUAGGUCAUUGUAUAAUUGGUGUUAGAAGGACUUGUAGUGGACCUUAGUCGAGAAGGUUUAGAGAGAAGUCGAAAAUUUUGUAAGCCUACCUGAGGCAAGUAACUUUUUCUUGACUAGUUAUAUAUGAUUUAAAAUAAAAUGCCUUCUUUAUUAAA